rnacentral:rRNA from 1 species
UACAGAGACUGCAAGCGUUAUUCGGAUUCACUGGGCGUAAAGGGUGCGCAGGCGGCCAAGUGUGUGAGGCGUGAAAGCUCGGGGCUUAACCCCGGAAUUGCACCUCAAACUACAUGGCUAGAGCAUUGGAGAGGGUAGCAGAAUUCAUGGUGUAGCAGUGAAAUGCGUAGAUAUCAUGAGGAAUACCAGAGGCGAAGGCGGCUACCUGGACAAUUGCUGACGCUCAGGCACGAAAGCGUGGGGAGCAAAAGGG